AGCCCCCUAGUUCAAUGGUAGAAUGCCCGGGUUGAUUUUCGACCGCGGGAGGUUGUGGGUUCGAUUCCCGCUAGUGCGA